rnacentral:rRNA from 1 species
UACGUAGGGUGCAGGCGUUAAUCGGAAUUACUGGGCGUAAAGCGUGCGCAGGCGGUCUUUUUAAGUCAGAUGUGAAAUCCCCGGGCUUAACCUGGGGAACUGCGUUUGAAACUGGAAGGCUAGAGUGUGGCAGAGGGGGGGUGGAAUUCCACGUGUAGCAGUGAAAUGCGUAGAGAUGUGGAGGAACACCGAUGGCGAAGGCAGCCCCCUGGGCUAACACUGACGCUCGAUGCACGAAAGCGUGGGGAGCAAACAGG